rnacentral:rRNA from 1 species
CCUACGGGAGGCAGCAGUGGGGAAUUUUGGACAAUGGGCGCAAGCCUGAUCCAGCCAUGCCGCGUGAGUGAAGAAGGCCUUCGGGUUGUAAAGCUCUUUCGGCGGGGAAGAAAAGGUUCGUGCUAAUACCACGAACUAAUGACGGUACCCGAAGAAGAAGCACCGGCUAACUACGUGCCAGCAGCCGCGGUAAUACGUAGGGUGCAGGCGUUAAUCGGAAUUACUGGGCGUAAAGCGUGCGCAGGCGGUUUGUUAAGACAGAUGUGAAAUCCCCGGGCUUAACCUGGGAACUGCGUUUGUAACUGGCAAGCUAGAGUGUGGCAGAGGGGGGUGGAAUUCCAAGUGUAGCAGUGAAAUGCGUAGAUAUUUGGAGGAACACCGAUGGCGAAGGCAGCCCCCUGGGCUAACACUGACGCUCAUGCACGAAAGCGUGGGGAGCAAACAGGAUUAGAUACCCUGGUAGUCCACGCCCUAAACUAUGUCAACUGGUUGUCGGGGAAGCAAUUCCUUGGUAACGAAGCUAACGCGUGAAGUUGACCGCCUGGGGAGUACGGCCGCAAGGUUAAAACUUAAAGGAAUUGACGG